UAGCAGAAACCCGGGAAAGCGAAACCGAAGAUGGGGGACGGGUACCACUGCAUUGUGCUAGGAGCCGGCCACAAAGAUGCAAUAACCUCUGGGCGGGAAGUGUGAAAAAGUUUCAGCCUAAAAUGGAAUCGGAGAAGAGGAAAUGCAGAAUCUCACGCAUGCGCCCUCAGAAGGAUAUGCCCGCUCUGAGCCUGAUUAUGCAAGACCGACGCUUCUCUCCUGACCAAUGAACUUCCGCCAAGAAUCCCUCCCCGUCCUCAAGCCAAUGAACUUACAGCCUGGACUCUGGCGGAACUCCCCACUUUGCGUUCCUUGCGAGUAAAUACUCCAAAACGCUCGAGGGACUGGCUUGUGGCUUGCUGCGGUCCGCGUUUCCCGUGUUACUCAAACUCUGGAAGACGGACUCCUGCAAGCUGUGUUCCCCACCCGUCGGCUGAGAACCAGUUUCCAAACAGGGCUGUCCAGUGAAAUUGGGGAGCAGGAGAAAGAAAGAAACCAAGAAUUCCUCUGAAAGCAUCACUUCAUCACGUGGUUUACAUCGGACGGAGGAGCAGGCCCCGAAGACCUGCCGCAAGGGCAGCCCCCUUGCUGUGCGGCACCCUGUGAGCCGGGGCGUGUGGGCCACAGCUGAUUGGACCAAGGUUCUUGACUCUCUUCCAGAAGGAUGGAUUGUCAGAAAUGUGAGAUCUGGAACAGUGCAGUUCUACUGUACUUUUUUCAUAUAUUCCUAUGGUGCUUUCAGAGAACAUACUAGAAAUUUAAUAAAUCAUUGUUGAACUGAUAACUUCCCCUUCUACUCAAAAUUCACCUAGAAUAAAA